UGCAAAGAUUUUAGAUUUGCUCUAGCUGGGAAAAGGAAACACCCGAUACCCAACGCCGUCUUCUGAAGUUAAAAAAAUGACCUUUCAUUGCAUAAUUUUGGAGGUAACCUAGCUGCGUAAUUAUAUUUGCACUUACAGAAGACGGCAUCAGAGUUCCCUUAUUGGUUUGAAAUUCCAUUAAAUAUAUUGCAAGAGCUCCUAGGUUAAGCUUGAUUUAAAUUUGCAUACAUUUUCAUAUAUUUAGCAGAAAUAAAAGAAGGCUUGCAGCUACCAGAAAGUCAUUAAGGCAUUAGUUUCUCUAAGAAGACAGAUCUGAAGAAAAUGCAAGAAAAUAAGAAAAAAUAAAAACAAGGUUGGCAGUUAUUUCCUAAAAGAAUAUUGAAGACAACAUUCCCUUGCCUUUGGGAUUCCAUUAAAUCUAUUGAGAAAUCAGGAGUCUUCUUAACUGCCAUUUCUCUGAAGAUAAAUUUUCCUCUAAAGAAGAGAAGAGAAUGGGAGUAAGAUAGGUGAAAUUUACCAUUUUAUAUUUUAUCUAAGAAGCACACAUGUGAAGCCUGUAGCCUGGUAGAAAC